rnacentral:misc_RNA from 1 species
UACGUAGGGGGCGAGCGUUGUCCGGAAUCAUUGGGCGUAAAGCGCACGUAGGCGGCCCCGUAAGUCGGAUGUGAAAGGCCACGGCUCAACCGUGGAACGGCAUCCGAUACUGCGGGGCUUGAGGUAGGUAGAGGGAAGUGGAACUCCCGGUGUAGCGGUGGAAUGCGCAGAUAUCGGGAAGAACACCGAUGGCGAAGGCAGCUUCCUGGGCCUUACCUGACGCUGAGGUGCGAAAGCGUGGGGAGCGAACAGG